rnacentral:rRNA from 1 species
AUGAUCGAAGCUCUCAAUGAUAAGUAUCUUGGCCUGCCUGCGCAUGUGGGGUUAGAUAAAACUGAUUGUUUCCAAUAUCUGAUUGAUCGCAUUAUUAUUAGCAGAUGGAAAGAAAAACUCUUAUCCACUGGAGGCAAGGAAGUUCUUCUCAAGUCUGUUGUUCAAGCUAUCCCAACUUAUGCUACAUCGGUCUUUAAAAUUCCUAUAAAAAUUAAAGGAAUAACUGACGAGAUGUCGCAUUUUUGGUGGGGUGAUGACGACAACCAGAGAAGGAUGCAUUGGAUGGUGUGGUGGAAAAUGUGUGUCCCGAAAAGCCAAGGCGGAAUGAGCUUUGACAUUCAUUGUUUUAAUUUGGCUAUGCUCGCUAAACAAGCUCGGCGUCUCCUUGAGAACCCAGAUUCCUUGAGUGACACCAUUUUGCGAGCUAAGUAUUUCCCUGAUGGAGAUUUAUUAAACGCAAAUUUAAAAAAGGGAUCAUCCUCACUAGUAGAAAAUAGGGCUUUGGUUCGGGCCUGGCCAGCCCAUUAG